rnacentral:rRNA from 1 species
CCAAGCGUUAUCCGGGAUUCACUGGGUUUAAAGGGUGUGUAGGCGGGAUAUUAAGUCAGUGGUGAAAUCCUACAGCUUAACUGUAGAACUGCCAUAGAAACUGAUGUUCUUGAAUGUGGUUGAGGUAAGCGGAAUGUGUAGUGUAGCGGUGAAAUGCUUAGAUAUUACACAGAACACCUAUUGCGAAGGCAGCUUGCUAAGCCAUGAUUGACGCUGAGACACGAAAGCGUGGGGAUCAAACAGGAUUAGAUACCCUGGUAGUCCACGCCGUAAACGAUGAUAACUAGUUGUUGGCGAUAUACAGUCAGCGACAAAGCGAAAGCAUUAAGUUAUCCACCUGGGGAGUACGAUCGCAAGAUUGAAACUCAAAGGAAUUGAACGGGGGCCCGCACAAGCGGAGGAACAUGUGGUUUAAUUCGAUGAUACGCGAGGAACCUUACCUGGGCUUGAAAGUUAGUGACGGAUGCCGAAAGUGUCUUCCCAGCAAUGGGCACGAAACUAAGUGCUGCAUGGUUGUCGUCAGCUCCUGCCCGUGAAGUGUCCGGUUUAAUUCCCAUAAC